rnacentral:tRNA from 1 species
GCGGAUGUGGCGGAAUUGGUAGACGCGCUAGAUUCAGGUUCUAGUGGGAGUUAUAUCCCGUGAAGGUUCGAGUCCUUUCAUCCGCA